UACGGGGCGCAGCAGGCGCGAAAACUUUGCAAUAAGCGAAAGCUUGACAGGGCUAUCCCGAGUGCCAUCCGCUGAGGAAGGCUUUUACCCAGUCUAGAACGCUGGGGGAAUAAGGAGAGGGCAAGUCUGGUGUCAGCCGCCGCGGUAAUACCAGCUCUCCGAGUGGUGUGGAUGUUUAUUGGGCCUAAAGCAUCCGUAGCUGGCCAGGUUAGUCCCCUGUUAAAUCCACCGAAUUAAUCGUUGGAUUGCGGGGGAUACUGCUUGGCUAGGGGACGAGAGAGGCAGACGGUAUUUCCGGGGUAGGGGUGAAAUCCUAUAAUCCCGGGAAGACCACCAGUGGCGAAGGCUGUCUGCUAGAACGCGCCCGACGGUGAGGGAUGAAAGCUGGGGGAGCGAACCGGAUUAGAUACCCGGGUAGUCCCAGCUGUAAACGAUGCAGACUAGGUGUUGGGUCGGCUACGAGCUGUCCCAGUGCCGCAGGGAAGCCAUUAAGCCUGCCACCUGGGAAGUACGGCCGCAAGGCUGAA
rnacentral:rRNA from 1 species